rnacentral:rRNA from 1 species
UACGUAGGGUGCGAGCGUUGUCCGGAAUUAUUGGGCGUAAAGAGCGUGUAGGCGGCUCGGUAAGUCCGCUGUGAAAGUCCAGGGCUCAACCCUGGAAGGCCGGUGGAAACUGCCGGGCUAGAGUCCGGAAGAGGCGAGUGGAAUUCCCGGUGUAGCGGUGAAAUGCGCAGAUAUCAGGAGGAACACCAAUUGCGAAGGCAGCUCGCUGGAACGUAACUGACGCUGAGACGCGAAAGCGUGGGGAGCAAACAGG